GAUGAACGCUGGCGGCGUGCCUAAUACAUGCAAGUCGAGCGAACAGACGAGGAGCUUGCUCCUCUGACGUUAGCGGCGGACGGGUGAGUAACACGUGGAUAACCUACCUAUAAGACUGGGAUAACUUCGGGAAACCGGAGCUAAUACCGGAUAAUAUAUUGAACCGCAUGGUUCAAUAGUGAAAGACGGUUUUGCUGUCACUUAUAGAUGGAUCCGCGCCGCAUUAGCUAGUUGGCAAGGUAACGGCUUACCAAGGCAACGAUGCGUAGCCGACCUGAGAGGGUGAUCGGCCACACUGGAACUGAGACACGGUCCAGACUCCUACGGGAGGCAGCAGUAGGGAAUCUUCCGCAAUGGGCGAAAGCCUGACGGAGCAACGCCGCGUGAGUGAUGAAGGUCUUCGGAUCGUAAAACUCUGUUAUUAGGGAAGAACAAAUGUGUAAGUAACUAUGCACGUCUUGACGGUACCUAAUCAGAAAGCCACGGCUAACUACGUG
rnacentral:rRNA from 1 species